rnacentral:rRNA from 1 species
AGAGUUUGAUCAUGGCUCAGGAUGAACGCUAGCUACAGGCUUAACACAUGCAAGUCGAGGGGAAACGAUAUUGGAAGCUUGCUUCCGAUAGGCGUCGACCGGCGCACGGGUGAGUAACGCGUAUCCAACCUGCCCACCACUUGGGGAUAACCUUGCGAAAGUAAGACUAAUACCCAAUGAUAUCUCUAGAAGACAUCUGAAAGAGAUUAAAGAUUUAUCGGUGAUGGAUGGGGAUGCGUCUGAUUAGCUUGUUGGCGGGUAACGGCCACCAAGGCGACGAUCAGUAGGGGUUCUGAGACGGAGGUCCCCCANAUUGGAACUGAGACACGGUCCAAAACUCCUACGGGAGCA